UACCAGCGGUCCAAGUCGCAAUCUGUUUUAUUGGGUCUAAAACAUCCGUAGCUUGCUAAGCAAGUCUCUUGUGAAAUCCGGCCUCUUAAGGGUCGAAGUGCGAGAGAUACUACAUAGCUAGAGACCGGGAGAUGUGAAGAGUACGGUUAGGGUAGCGGUAAAAUGCGUUGAUCCUUACUGGACUAACAACAGCGAAGGCACUUCACAAGAACGGAUCUGACAGUGAGGGAUGAAGGCUAGGGGCGCAAAACGG
rnacentral:rRNA from 1 species